rnacentral:rRNA from 1 species
UACGUAGGGUGCAAGCGUUGUCCGGAAUUAUUGGGCGUAAAGAGCUCGUAGGCGGUUUGUCGCGUCUGCUGUGAAAACUGGGGGCUCAACCCCCAGCCUGCAGUGGGUACGGGCAGACUAGAGUGCGGUAGGGGAGAUUGGAAUUCCUGGUGUAGCGGUGGAAUGCGCAGAUAUCAGGAGGAACACCAAUGGCGAAGGCAGAUCUCUGGGCCGUAACUGACGCUGAGGAGCGAAAGCUAGGGGAGCAAAUGGG